rnacentral:lncRNA from 1 species
AGUGGCCCUAGGCAGCAGCCUGGGGAAGCCAGGGUUGUCGAGCGCGGUCCGACUGAGCUGGCGGGCUCGCGGGGUCACGCGGGGCUGGAGGCCGCCUAGUACCUGAUAGCGGCCGGUGAGCAGCUGGCUCCGCGAGGGCGUGCACAGCGGCUGCACGUAGUAGUUGUCCAGGACCACGCCGCCGGCCGCCAGCGCAUCCAGGUGCGGCGUGCGGAUGACCGAGCCGUGAAAACCCAAGUCGUUCCAGCCCAGGUCGUCCGCCAGCACGAAGACCACAUGCGGAGGCUGGGUAGCUCCGGAGGCCCGGGCCGGCGACAGCAGCAGCAGCAGCAGCUGCAGCAGCAGCAGCAAGAGUGGCAGCUGCGGCCCGGGACCUCCAGGCCGGCUCCUGCCAGUGCACGGGCUAAGCUUGCCCAUCCUUAGCAGCCUGCAGAGCCCGUGCUGCGGGCACCCCCGACAGAAUCGGGAACUGAGCGGCCGGGCUCCCCAGCAAGAUUUCAUCCACCUGGGCGGGCCGCGGGCUGGGGAGGGCCGGCGUCCACGGCCUCCGCCUCCCGCGGGGGCCGGGGGAGGAGCCGCACAGAGCGCGCGGGCGAACUCAGCCGGUCCUUCCAAGGCCCAGAGGCCCGUUCUUUAUUUUAGCCAUGAACUCGAGAGCCACAAGUUCCAAAGCUGUUUCACAACCUUUAUCUGAUUAAAUCUAGCCGCAAACUUGACAGCUAAGCACUAUAGUUAGCGCUCCUUUUAUCCCCAGAAGAAACCCUGUAAUGGUUUGGACCAUUACAGAUGAGAGAAGAGAGGUGGUGCAGAUGGUGUUUCAGAUUCCUUUGUGCAGUGUGUACCCAUGAAGCCACUUCCUUCCCAUCAUCAGUGGGCCAAACACAUUCAUUCUGUCUGCCCAGAAUCUAAAAUGAAAUGGUGAAGUUUCAUUUCAAGACAUUCGGGGUAUGCCCACCUAAGACUGUCUACUUGCUUACUCAAUGUCUAGAGAUGAGUGAUAACUGUUAGGUGGAGAGAGAAAAAAUGUGCGCUGCCUGAAGGACACACCCUCUCUGGCUGAGGCCGAGUCCGUGGGAGUUACUUUACAGCUUUAGAAGCUCUGGAUGAAUGAUACCCUUGAAAAGUAAUUAUUGCUGAUGUACUCAACUGACUUCCAUGCGGUUGGCUGAUGGGCGUUUGUGGUAUUGUUCCUUAUAACCAAUUUUAAUUUCUUAUCGGUUUCUCACUAAUAAAUUAGAUGAAAUC